rnacentral:lncRNA from 14 species
UGUAAGGAUUUGACUUCUGGUGAAAAAUUCAAGCCUAGAGAAAACUUGUCUGCUUUGUUAGGAAGAAUGGGUUGGACAAUUUUCUUCAAUUCCAAAGGAUUUCUGAAUGCCAUGCUGAGCUUAAUCUCUGCAGCAUGCUCUGUGCUUCUCAUCUCUUCCUGAUGCACUACAUGCUGCUGCUUCUGGGGAAGAAGCCCGUCAGGCUCUGCAGGACAAGGCCCAGCAGAC